GACGAACCGAGCGAACGUUAUUCGGAAUCACUGGGCUUAAAGGGUGCGUAGGCGGGCUCGUCAGUCGGGGGUGAAAUCCCACGGCCCAACCGUGGAAGUGCCUCCGAUACUGCGGACCUAGAGGGGGACAGGGGCGUGCGGAACUUCCGGUGGAGCGGUGAAAUGCGUAGAUAUCGGAAGGAACACCGGUGGCGAAAGCGGCACGCUGGAUCCCUACUGACGCUGAGGCACGAAAGCCAGGGGAGCAAACGGGAUUAGAUACCCCAG
rnacentral:rRNA from 1 species